AUAACAUAAAUAAAUCACUUUGGAUUUAUAUAGCGCUGGUAUCCAGUGAUCGCUGCUCAAAAGCGCUUCUGGGAGUUCUACAUUGACUGGAGUCUAUUCAAACACAACUGUGGUGAACACAUAUGUCUUGAGAUGUUUCU